rnacentral:rRNA from 1 species
UACGUAGGGUGCAAGCGUUGUCCGGAUUUAUUGGGCGUAAAGGGCGCGUAGGCGGCCUACUAAGUCGGGUGUGAAAGCCCCGGGCUCAACCUGGGAAUUGCAUCCGAUACUGAUUGGCUAGAGUAUGAGAGAGGGAGGUAGAAUUCCACGUGUAGCGGUGAAAUGCGUAGAUAUGUGGAGGAAUACCGGUGGCGAAGGCGGCCUCCUGGCUUAAUACUGACGCUGAGGUGCGAAAGCGUGGGGAUCAAACAGG